UACGUAGGGUGCAAGCGUUGUCCGGAAUUAUUGGGCGUAAAGAGCUCGUAGGCGGUCUGUCGCGUCUGCUGUGAAAACUCAGGGCUUAACCCUGAGCUUGCAGUGGGUACGGGCAGACUAGAGUGCGGUAGGGGAGACUGGAAUUCCUGGUGUAGCGGUGAAAUGCGCAGAUAUCAGGAGGAACACCGGUGGCGAAGGCGGGUCUCUGGGCCGUAACUGACGCUGAGGAGCUAAAGCAUGGGGAGCUAACAGG
rnacentral:rRNA from 1 species